CAGUGGAAGAAAAAGCCAUCUGGACCAUCUGCACAGUGCUGGAUGCCAUUGACCAGAUGUGGAUGCCUGUAAUGAGGACUUGGAACGAGUGCCACUAUGGGGUUCUAAUUGGCCUUAAUAAAGCAGAAGCUGCUGCCAAGCAUGAGGAGGCCUUGGUAAAGAUCUGGAAGUGCUCCUAUGAUGUCUCAUCACCUCUGAUGGAGCCCAACCAUCCCGUCUAAGGCAACACCAGUGAGAAUGAUCAGCUACCCUCCUGUGAAAGUCUGAAGGACACUACUGCCAUAGCUCUGCCCUUUUAGAAAGAAGAGAUAGUCUCCUAGAUCAAGGAGGGGAAAUGGGUGCUGAUUGCAGCUGAUGGCAACAGUUUUCGGGGCAUUGUUGAGCAUCUGGAGGGUGUCUCUGAAGAGGCUUCAUGCAGCUGGACCUGCCAGCUGGUAUUCCCAUUGUCUAUAGAUUGGACAAGAACUUGAAGCCCACCAAGCCCAUGUAGUUCCCGGGGGGGGAUGAAGAGACUGUGCAUAAAGCCAUGGAAGCUAUGGCUAUUGGGAGCAAGGUCAAGAAAUAA
rnacentral:lncRNA from 1 species